rnacentral:rRNA from 1 species
GACGAGGGAUCCUAGCGUUGUUCGGAAUCAUUGGGCGUAAAGCGGGUGUAGGCGGGCUUAUAAGUCAGAUGUGAAAUCCCAGGGCUUAACCCUGGAAGUGCAUUUGAUACUGUAAGUCUUGAGUGUGGUAGAGGUUACUGGAAUUCCUGGUGUAGUGGUGAAAUACGUAGAUAUCAGGAGGAAUACCGGAGGCGAAGGCGGGUAACUGGGCCAACACUGACGCUGAGAUCCGAAAGCGUGGGGAUCAAACAGG